UCUUUUGUUCCUUUACUUUCUCAGCUUUCAUAUGUUAGUUGUUUAUGUGUCAUUCACAUGAUGUAAUGAUUUCAUUGUUAUGAAUUCUAUUGGCAUGACUUCUUUAUCAAUUCUAUUGAUUGCAUGUAUUCUUGGAACUUGCUAUAAUGUCCUUCACAAAAUUCUUAUCAUGCAAUCAUUCCUCCUACCUAUACCUAUAUUUUGAAUAGUACUCAUAUGUCCCAAAGAGCACUCAUUUGUCCCAAAUUACAAAUAGUAACUUUCUUUCAAAUAGUAACAUAUAGUACUCAUUUGUCCCAAAUUAGGAAN
rnacentral:lncRNA from 1 species